CUAGACAGGUGGGCCUUGAUCCCACAACAAUUUAAUUAACAGCUAAACACCCAAACCAGCGGGCUUCCAUCUA
rnacentral:tRNA from 1 species